GACAGAGGGUGCAAACGUCGUUCGGAAUUACUGGGCGUAAAGCGCGUGUAGGCGGCUCUGCAAGUCGGAUGUGAAAGCCCUCGGCUCAACCGGGGAACUGCGUCCGAUACUGGCGGGCUUGAAUUCGGGAGAGGGAUGUGGAAUUCCAGGUGUAGCGGUGAAAUGCGUAGAUAUCUGGAGGAACACCGGUGGCGAAGGCGGCAUCCUGGACCGACAUUGACGCUGAGGCGCGAAAGCUAGGGGAGCAAACGGG
rnacentral:rRNA from 1 species